rnacentral:lncRNA from 1 species
CUCGGGGCAUGCCCUUCAAUUCCGAGCAAUUGUUGUUUAACAAGACUCUAAGUUUGGUCAGCUUUUGGAUCAUUUUAGGCAGCUCACAUAAUUUUCGACAACCACUGAUGUCGAGUUUCUCUAAAUGCUGAAGAUCACUUGACGAUGAGGGUAAUGAUUGUAGAGAACAGCAUUUAGAAACGUUCAGAAUAUGCAAGUUUUGAAGGCUCCCAAUGGAUUCAGGUAAUGUCACAAAAGAAUUUAGAAGUGACAGGUUUAAGUUAUAUAGGUUUUUGAGAUCACAUAACGAUGAGGGUAAUGAUAGUAGAGAACUGCAGCGAGAAAGGUUUAGAGUACGCAAGUUUUGAAGGCUCCCAAUGGAUUCGGGUAACGUCACCAAAGAUUUUAGACAUGAUAGGUUUAAGUCAUGCAGGUUUUUGAGGUGACAUAUAGGUUCAAGUGAUCUCACUUUUUCGCACGAACUCAAAUUUAGUGAGUACAAAUUCUGAAGGUUGCUAACUGAGUCAAGUAUUGUCAGAGAACUGCACCUUGAAAGAUUCAAUUUUUGCAAGUUGCAUAGGCUGGUAAUUGAUUCAGGCAAUUCUUGUAUUCUGGUCUCCGAAUGGUCAAGGUAUCUUAAGAGCUUCGGUGAGCUCUCCUCCUUUGACGAGCUACUCGCUAGUUCCUCAUAUGGGUACGGCCUGCACCACAACAACAACGCAAAAUAGUAAAUUUUUUAUCUGAUGCUCGUGUAGCACGUGCUGUAUAUUGCUUACACUUUCUAAUACUGCAUGAUAUAUAAGAUACCUUAUUUCAAUUUGCAAAGAAAAAUAUCCCAGGACUCAAAUAGUGUAUCAGCAAUAUGACUGAAAAUGAUUACUCGGUAAUUAAAUACUAUAUAGCUUUCAAGUAGAAAUUUUUCGGCAUCUCAAAUCGCUACAAAUUAAGAAAAGGUUAAAAUUUCAUUAAUUAAUUAGCCUAUAUACAUGCAAGAGACCGCUUGCAAAUUUUUUUCAGGCAACAAACCAUGUUUUAGAAUAUCUUAGCUGCACUUUCACGUAGUUGAUAUUGAAAUGUGGUUUUUAAACUGUGCAACAGCAAGCUGCUAUUGUUUCAAUUGUACAAAUUAGUAAAGUUGCAAUUGCUGCAAAAUUUAUGGAAAGAUAAUUCCCUCGUGUAAUCUAUGAACCACUUGUACAAGUAAAAUAUUUUGUUGAAUAGCAAUUUAGCAUAUCUAAAUAGGAAGGAAUAAGAACAGGGUAAAACUAAACUUAAAAAUUAGAAUCAUUCGGAAAAUAAAUUAAACAAAAUCUCACAAAUACAUAAAUGGAGGGUAGAAAUCAAAAUUAAUUCCUCCAGAAGAUGAGGAUUGGAGAUUGUGACUAGUAAAUGGUUUGUACCUUAUGCUGCAGUAAGUAUGUAUUUCUAUAGAUAUGCUACCGGAGAUUUAUCUAGAGAAGAAAAUUUUCAAUUUGGUCUCUCUGUGGUUUAAUACGGUGUCACUUUACCUCCCAAUAUUUUAAAUACUUUUACUUGAAAAUUCUGUAGGGUUUUUUUUUUUCCUGUAUCAUCAUAAGAACUUGCCGUCAAGUGAAAACUAAAGUGCUGAAAUAUAUAAACUAUGGGAUAGUAAAGUGAUAUAUUUUAUAAAAUAAAAGGUGACCACCUAUAUCUAAAUAUAUUUUUUCAAAUAGCACUAUUAUGGUUUAUAAAAUAUAUUACUUUACUACCUUAUAAUUCAUAAAUUUUAGUACUUUAAUAUUUUCUGAUAGUAAGUCCUUGCGGUGAAAUAAAGACACAACAAUAAAAUAGCAAAGUGAAAUAUUUUAUAGCAAAUGAAACUGCACUGAGCCACGUCGGGGUGGGCCUAACCAAAGUUUUUCCAUAUGGAUUUAAAAAAAAAUAAUAAUAAAGAAAGAGGUUUAUAUGCUAGCUACAAUAGAAUAUUAAGGUGCUAUCCAGCUAAUUAAUUAAAGAGUAAUCAAGAGUUCCAAAUUAAUUACCUUCCAUCAACUUUGACUUCUUCGAUGUGAUCGACGCUGGUGUCGACAAAGUGUUUAUCUGCAUCGAACAACAGCGGGGAACCUUUAAUGUGUAACUUCUUAAGUGUGGUCAUCUUGUGGGCAGGCAAGUAACGGAGACUGCUGCACCCCGAGAUCUCCAAGGACUGCAGCUCGGUGAGCUCCCCGAGCCAAUCUUCAAUUCUCUCAAGAUCUUUGCAAUCCCAUAUUGUCAGCCACUGGAGGGACGUGAGACCCCGCAAGCUCUCGGGCAAACAAGUUAGCUGCCGACAUUUUUGUAUUAUUAGCUCGCGCAGCCCCGUAUCUGGUGGCGGUUGAAGUGAAACGGCGGCAUCACCACCACCAAGUGGCAUCGCGCAUUCGAGAAUUAACGAUAGAUUCUCCUUGCUUGCUUGAGAAAUGAGCAGAUACUCAACCGAUGGCGGGAGGCAAGGCUCCGGCCUCAAUUGAGGACAUUCUUUAAGCAACAAUCCACCGAGACACGGAAAAAUGGGAACUCGCUCUCGCCUGCCUUCUUCGUCAUCCACCGUCAACACAGUCACCCAUUCUCGCAGCAACGGCAUGGAGGACAACUUAAGUAUCAUCAGCACAGGGAACUUAUCUACGCCCAAAUUUGUUAUUGCGGGCAUAUCGCCUAUUUGUAGUUUUGUAAGAAAAGGAAGUUGCCCCAGCGGCGGGAGUGAGCUGCAUACGGGAAUAUUAUCAAGUCUCAUUUCAUCGAGAUUUGGGAGGCACAAACCAAUCCCAUUCAUCAUCCAGCUAGGAAACUUCCUGCCUCCAUAGCCUCGUAUAUGCAAUUCCACUAGCUUUUGAUGUGGUUGAAGAUUUUCUAGCACGGUUUCAAUCUCUUCCGCCGGUAGUACAGUACUAUCCAUGCAUUCUUCCGCGCUUAAAAUGUUCCAUUCCAACUUCAAAGACCGCAGGUUCUUCUCUAUCAAAUUUGCAGCCUUGGCAUCAACCGGACUCGUUACAUUUUCAAGACCCUUGAUCCGGAGCUCACCGACAAGCCUCAAGUGCUCUAGCUCAGAAAUGCUAGCACAAUGUUCGACGCGGUCUUGCUUGCCGAUGACAAAAACGGACAAUUCCUGCAAGCUAACUAACUUGCCGAUCCCUUGGGGCAUGCCCUUCAAUUCCGAGCAAUUGUUGUUUAGCAAGACUCUAAGUUUGGUCAGCUUUUGGAUCAUUUUAGGCAGCUCACAUAAUUUUCCACAACCACUGAUGUCGAGUUUCUCUAAAUGCUGAAGAUCACUUGACGAUGAGGGUAAUGAUUGUAGAGAACAACAUUCAGAAACGUUCAGAAUACGUAAGUUUUGAAGGCUCCCAAUGGAUUCAGGUAAUGCCACCAAAGAUUUUAGACAUGAUAGGUUUAAGUCAUGCAGGUUUUUGAGAUCACAUAACGAUGAGGGUAAUGAUUCUAGAGAAAAGCAGUUCGAAAGGUCCAGAAUGCGCAAGUUUUGAAGGCUCCCAAUGCAUUCAGGUAAUGCCACCAAAGAUUUUAGAUAAGACAGGUUUAAGUCAUGUAGGUUUUUGAGGUGACAUAAUGAUGAGGGUAACCAUUCUAGAGAAGAGCACCUAGAAAGGUUCAGAACACGCAAGUUUUGAAGGCUCCCAAUGGAUUCAGGUAAUGUCACCAAAGAAUUUAUAUCUACUAGGUCUAGGUAAUGAAGGUUUUUGAGGUGACAUAUAGGUUCAAGUGAUAUCACAUUUUCGCACGAACUCAAAUUUAGAGCGUACAAAUUCUGAAGGUUGCUAAUGGAGUCAGGUAUUGUCAGAGAUCGGCAAUUGCAUAAAUCUAAAUUCCGCAAAUUCACAAGCCUUCCUAGAGAUUUGGGUAAUGUACGGAUCUUGCGGCAGCUUGAAAGAUACAAGGUUUGCAAGUUGCAGAGGCCAGUAAUUGAUUCAGGCAAUUCUUGUAUAUUGGUCUCCGAAAGGUUAAGGUAUCUUAAGAGCUUCAACUUACUGAUUGAGCUUGGCAGCAUAGAAAUUUCGAUAAAACUUAAAUCCAACAGGCGUAAGCAUUUUGUGUCACUAUAAAAAGCCAUAAUAAAUGAACAAGAUACCGAAAAUUGAAGAGCUCGCAACCUCCGCACUACUGUGGUUGGAAUCUGCGGCAUGGAACUACUGUCUAUUGACGCAUAGCGGCAACCUUCUGGGAUCCUUGUCGACUCUUCUCCAACUAUAACAGCAACUUCUUCUCUUGCUACAGAUUGUGCGAGGUCGUGCACUAAAUCAUGCAUACGGCAGGUGGUAACCUUUCUAUAAUUUUCCUUCACGUACCUGAAGGAAAGACAUCCAUAAUAGAUCCUUAACGUACUCAUCUCCAAUAUGUUCCAUCGAAGUCCUUGUUUCAUGCGAUGAAAUGAAGCCUAAAGCAAUCCAUUGCCGGAUCAAGUCAUCCUUGCCAAUCUCAUAGCCUUUGGGAAAUAUGGAGCAGUAAACGAAGCACUGCUUCAAAGCCGACGGCAUCUGAAUGUAGCUCAAUUUUAAUGAUGGUAAAAUAGUUUUCUCUUCUUUCAGACUCCAAAUUUCGUUAUCCCUAAUAGCGGACCAUGCAUCCUCUGUCCUGCUCUUAAAGCGCAUCAUACUUCCCAAAGCAUUUGCUGCUAACGGCAGGCCGCCGCACUUCUUAACUAUCUGCUUUCCGAUUGCGACCAAACUCGGAUAGUCGUUCUCUUCCCCUUCCUUGAAUGCCCGUCUUUUGAACAAUGUCCAACAAUCAUUAUAUGAUAAGCCUUUCACACGGUGCGGUUCGACUGUUUUCAUUAUCUCAGCAACCUUUUCACUCCGCGUGGUCACUAAGACUUUGCUUCCCUUCUUGCUGUCCUUAAAUACAACGUUCAACUCCUUCCACUUAUUCUGAUCUUCGUUCCAUACAUCAUCCAGCACCAGCAAAAAUCUCUUCUGGCUAAAGAUCCUGACAAGGCAAGUGGCAACGGCAUCCGAGUUAUCAAGAGCACAAUUUUCUCCAGCUGCAGAUAUCACCGGCUUUGCAAUCGUCUUCAUGUGGAAAUCGGUAGACACGCAGACCCACACCCGUAGAUCAAAGCGCUGCUGGUCCGCAACCCGCCCGUCGUUGUAGGCCAGCUGAGCGAGCGUCGUCUUCCCCAAUCCCCCCAAUCCCACGAUCGGAAUGACCGACACGUCGUGAUCGCCCCCCGUCUCUAGCAGUAGCUUCACAAUUUUCUCUUUAUCACCAUCUCUCCCUACUAUCGUCUUUUCGUUGACGACCGAGAAUGUCUCAGGGCGUUUGAACUCAGCCUCCCGAGCAGGGCCAGCUUCGGUAAGACCGAAAUCAUUUCUUUGUUUCGCUAUCUUACCGAUCUUUUCUCUGAGCUCUUUCAUCCUGUGUGCCAUCUUGACCUUAAACUUCAGAUGCAUCGGAUUAGCGCGGGACAGAAAUCCACGUACCUUUUCAUCUUCCGUCCGGAUCUCGUCCAGCAGGUCGUCGGCGUCGUAGGCGGCGUCCUUCAGUUUGCGCAGCCAGUCGCGCAGAGCGUGGCUCUCCUUCCCAACGCUGCUCCGCUCCUCGGCGUCGAGAAGCACCGCCUGGAUCGCCGAGAAGUUGCUUCUGAGAUCAUCCGCGUCGUCCUUGAAGCUCCGCAGCAGCCCGAUUUCGUCCCCGAGAGCGGAGCCCAGCUUGCCCAGCACUCCUUUCACCAGAUCGAAUGCGAUCCCCUCCGCCAUCGCGCGCGCGUGCUGCUGCCUAAUUCUUCUCAAUACGAACGUCCUACUACAGAGAAGCAGAGGAUAAUGAAGGGUAUGCUCUCCACCACUGGAAGAUGAUUGCUCCAAUUAUUAUUGCGCUACUGCUCCAAUUAUUGUGCUGCACGCUACUCCCCCAAUCGUCUUUAUCCUAUUGUACAGAUUAUAAAAAUAUUAUCAGUUUCAAAUUGGAUCUUGUCGUUUCUGUGUCCAUUUUUUAAAAAUGGAGCGGCGGGAAUGGUGGGCCGCCCUUAUUAUUAUUAUUAUUAUUAUUAUUAUUAUUAUUAUUAUUAUUAUUAUUUUCUCAUACAACUGAAGAAAACGGAAUGAAGAUGUUUGAGAUUUCUGAAAGAUGAUUAAAUGGUAUCACUUAAGAAAUUAAAAAAGCAGUCAAAAUCAGUUUUAGUUUCGAAUAAUUUUGAAUCCGAAUUUUAAAAAGGAAUAGUGAAUCUUAAUUUGAACCCAAAAAAUUUCAAUUUUCAGAUCCGAAUCUGAUUCCAAAAUUGAUAAUAAAAUUUCAAACCAAAUCCUAAUCUUUGGCUUCACAGUCCAGUCAGAUUGAAUAAUACCAGCAUAAUUUUCACCCCAAGGCAUUAUUCUAACAUGCUAUUAUACUUGAAGAAUUGAAUUGAUAUUUAUAAAUUUUGAUUGCCCAAAAAAAAGAAAAAGAAAAAAGUAUGGAGACCACUGGAGCACUGCACCACAAGUGCACCACAGUUCAAAUCGGCUUUUUAAUUAGCAUUGGUCUUCUUAAUUGCCAUUAAAAAAUUUAUUUUCUUAAUUUACACCACUUUAUACUAUCAUUUUUUUUAAAAAAAAAUUAGACCCUGCCGGCGAAAAAUAUAGAAAAUUUUAUUAUGCCUAAUUAUCUCAAAUCUAUAUAAACUAGAUUGGCUAUUGGAAUUUUUUUUCAAAACUAUCGUUGCUAUCGUAAACGAAAAUAAAAAUUUUUUUUAUUUAUCGUCCCUAGAGCAAGUGGCAGAGAGCUUGGUCAAUGGUAUCCGAGACCCAAAUUCAAAUUCCAGUUGAUUCAUAUUUCCAGCUAAGUUUAUUUCUAAAUAAAAUAAAACGACGGGGUAACGUGCGACCUAUCUCUCUCUCUCUCAAAAAAAAAAAAAAAAAAAAAAGAGCUUAGCUUUCUUUUGUAUCUGUCGACAUUCUUAUUAUAUUAUUAGAGGCAAUGGUUCAUUUGUUUUGUAUACAUCUCAAUUGCUGCUCCACUCUUGAUUGUCUUCACAUAGGUUUAAAAAAAAAAAAAACAGAAAACGACCUUGUUAUUAAUAUAGGGGUCUAAUUAAGACAAAUAAAUAUAUAAAUGAAAAAAAAAAAAAAGUUUAGUGGAGCAAUUUCAUACGCCAGUAUAGUGCACGUGACUUUAUGCAUUUUAGCCCCCCCAAAAAAUUGUAUUAUUUUGUUGAAAACUUGAAAUGCGAACAGACGUAAGAGCUGCACAUUGUAAAGGAGAGUACAGACGACAUGGUGGCCGAGCUGGCUCUCCUCAUGUAAAAUGUAAUUAAAUAAAUGUGUGCCAGCCAUAGUUUAAUUGUAGUUGCUCCUGGCCUGAUCGCCUACAGUUGCAAAUCCUCACUGUUACAUACUUUUGCACGCGAUACAUCAUCUCUUUUUGUUACAGAUAAAUUGCAAGUUUUAGAGGACUCGCAUACAGCAUCUAGAAAUUUUUAUGAGCCGACCCAAACUACUUGUACAGCCAUGCAUUUGGCUGUUGCGUCCGGAUCUCGUCCAGCAGGUCGUCGGCGUCGUAGGCGGCGUCCUUCAGUUUGCGCAGCCAGUCGCGCAGAGCGUGGCUCUCCUUCCCAGCGCUGCUUCGCUCCUCGGCGUCGAGAAGCACCGCCUGGAUCGCUGAGAAGUUGCUUCGGAGGUCGUCCGCGUCGUCCUUGCAGCUCCGCAGCAGCCCGAUUUCGUCCCAGAGAGCGGAGCCCAGCUUGCCCAGCACUCCCGUCACCAAAUCGAAUGCGAUCCCCUCCGCCAUCGCGCGUGCGUGCUGCUGCCUAAUUCUUCUCAAUGCGAACGUCCUACUACAGAGAAGCAGAGGAUAAUAAGGAGAUGCUCUCCACCAGUGGAAGAUGAUUGCUCCAAUUAUUGUGCUGUGUCUCCAAUAAUUAUGGUGGGGGCCGGAGGAGCUUGGAGAGAACGCACGCGCCAAUGCUUUUUUUUGUUUUUUUGUUUUUUUGAAAACUCUUCAUUGGGUAUAGAAUAUACACCCCAUCUAUUUAAAAAUAAAGUGUAUUUUACUAAUCACAUCAAC